rnacentral:rRNA from 1 species
UACGUAGGGGGCUAGCGUUGUCCGGAUUUAUUGGGCGAAAGAGCGUGUAGGCGGCCAGGUAGGUCCGUUGUGAAAACUCGAGGCUCAACCUCGAGACGUCGGCGGAAACCCUCUGGCUAGAGUCCGGAAGAGGAGAGUGGAAUUCCCAGUGUAGAGGUGAAAUUCGUAGAUAUUGGGAAGAACACCGGUGGCGAAGGCGGCUCUCUGGACCGAGACUGACGCUGAGGCGCGAAAGCGUGGGGAGCAAACAGG